rnacentral:lncRNA from 1 species
GUGUAUGGUGACGUAUGCAUAGUGAACAUAAUAAUUCUAAACACGGGACAUUUUUCUACAAUUUUAUUUCAAAAACUAGAAACACUAUACAAACUGGCCGAGUGACUUUGCAAAGAAACUUUUUACCAUAUCACAGUUUGGAAUUUUGUAAAUAACCGAAACAUUAACGAUAAUACUUUUUCAAUAUCAUAUUAUACACAAAUGAACACAACUGUUGUUUGUUAACAGUUUGUUAAAACUGGAUCAGCACGUUUAUAUAACCAUUGUCACGAAAUUAACAUUUUCUGAAAACACACAUGCAAGCUUGCCGCUGUUCUGAUAAUGUAAGCAUAGAAUGGAACAAAGGUAACCAAGCGUUUAAAUUGUAUGCGCGAAUAAACUGGUCUAAUACAUGUUUAUGCCCAUUGCUACACAAUUCAGGGUUUUAGACAAGUCACAUGACUAUGUUACUGGUCAUAGAUUUAUCAGAAAAUAUGUUAAAUUCUGGUUAUUUCAAUACAAUCCUCCAUACAAAUUCAGACACGCCUAUGUGCCUAAGAAUGGAACAAAGGUGAUCCAGUAUUAAAAUUAUAUUCACAUCUUGCCAUUUUGGGUUCAGGCAAAUUUAUGUAUUGUGACGUCACUUGCAAGCGCUGAAUACGUAGAAGAGAAUUGAGUGUCAACGGCUUUAAACAUGCGUGUCGGUGAUAUACGGUAGACCUUUUCCAUACUUAUGUCAUGAAUACUUUCAUGACCUGUGAACCUUGCUCUCAUGAAUCAGAACACGAGGCGAUUGGCUCAUGUUUCAUCAACAGUUUGUGUCUGUGUAGUUACUGCCCAUAAUAUAGACCCAUUUUUCUGCAGAAAGAAAAUUUUGUAAAAUGUGAUUGGCCGACACAAAUUUUACGUGGGAAAAAAAAUUUUGAAGUUGAAAAUUUUCAACUUUUAACAAUGAUAUUUUCGGAAAAUUUUCUGUUCGUGGAAAUUUUCUGUUCGUGGAAAUUUUCUAUCCGUGGAAAUUUUCUGUUCGUGGAAAUUUUCUGUUCGUGGAAAUUGGCCUUAAGAAAGCUUCGGAUUGAUAGGGAUACAACUACCUGAAAAAUACAAGGAGAACUUCGGCGGUUCGCUCGUCGGUUAUUUAACUUCCCGAUGAAGACCUUCGCUCGAAACGUCGAAGUUCUCUUUCUAUUUUUCUGGGUUUUUUCAGGUAAUUGCACGCCUAUAUCAAUCCAGAACUUUCAUUAUUCAUGAUGCUCCCAGGCUAAGGAGAGAUUUAUGACGUAAGUACCGAAAUGGUGUAUUAAUGGAAAUGGCAAUAUAUUUUUUAUUUUCUCAUUAGAAAGAAAUUUUAAGAUUAUAUACAAUACUCUUUUACCUUCAUUUCAUAUCUUGCUU